CCUACGGGAGGCAGCAGUGGGGAAUAUUGGACAAUGGGCGCAAGCCUGAUCCAGCCAUGCCGCGUGAGUGAUGAAGGCCUUAGGGUUGUAAAGCUCUUUUAGCAGGGAAGCGGUACCUGCAGAAAAAGCCCCGGCUAACUUCGUGCCAGCAGCCGCGGUAAUACGAAGGGGGCUAGCGUUGCUCGGAAUCACUGGGCGUAAAGCGCACGUAGGCGGCUUCUUAAGUCAGAGGUGAAAUCCUGGAGCUCAACUCCAGAACUGCCUUUGAUACUGAGAAGCUUGAGUCCGGGAGAGGUGAGUGGAACUGCGAGUGUAGAGGUGAAAUUCGUAGAUAUUCGCAAGAACACCAGUGGCGAAGGCGGCUCACUGGCCCGGACUGACGCUGAGGUGCGAAAGCGUGGGGAGCAAACAGGAUUAGAUACCCUUGUAGUC
rnacentral:rRNA from 1 species